rnacentral:tRNA from 1 species
GGAGUUGAAGUAAGAUGUGAUUAUAACUACGAAUUAUAAUUAGGCGUUAGCCGUUACUUUGG